rnacentral:lncRNA from 1 species
CUGCAUUAUACACAGGAGUGGAGAAGUCAUUUAUAAAUAAUUACACAAUGUUUUGGGUCUUUGGGCUUGUAUAAUAUAUCAAAGCGAUUAGUACACUUAUUGUUCCAUUGUAAAAGCUUUUUUUCUCCUUUCAGUUUCACUUGCCUUGUCUUCUAGCUAAACCUUUUUCUGGAAAUCUUUUGUCUUCUUCAUUCUUUUUGCUUGUUACAGUCCAGGAGCAUUCUUCUUAUUCAAACACUCGCAGCAGGGGCAAAGAAAGCGACUUCGGCCGCAUCUUAAGUUUUACCAUAACUUUCUGGCAUUUUCUUUUCUUCCAGUUUUCCCAGACUACUUAGGGGCAGUGAAGAAUUAUAACAUACAUGAAUUAUUAGUACUCCCCUCGAGUUAAAGGGGGAGGAAAGCGCCUCAUUUUCUAUGCCCCCAAGGGACGGACCGAGCGGGCAGCCUCUAAACAAUGUAUUUAUCACUUUGCAUCUCUUUGGGACGCCGGCCGCGCCCCCACCCUUGCCGCCGCCGUCGCCGCCGCCACUUCGGUUUUGCUCUGGCUGGGGAGACCCGGCGUUUCUGGAUUUCUUUUAUGCAGCCACAAAUAAAGGCUCCUAGGCUGGAAGAAGGGGAUUUCCCCCCAAGUCUUGAGCAAACGACCCUAGCGCCGUGGCUCUUCCUACGGCGGGGGCCUCGGAGAACCCGGCGGGGCGCGCGGGGGGACGCGUGGGCACUGCCGCGUGGGCGCCCUGACCCCGCGCCCGCGUGGAGCGAGAGCCGGGACUCUGGGCCAGCAAGUUCCAGUUCCCCGAUGGGGCCGGCUCGCCCGGAGCCGCGUGAGGGGAUUAGGGCCGCACGAGAGGCGACCGCGCCGCGGCCUCCAGCCACGUGAGCACAGACACGGCUUCAAACGUCCCCAACGCACUAAUCCUUGUUAUCCGGCAGGAUAACCGCGGCCGCGCCAGCACCCGGCCUGCCUCCUCCGUCUGGCUGCGGGCGGGGAGUGCGCCUGGCUCCCGAGCCCCUGACACGGAUUUGGGGCCUGCAAUGACGAUCUACCCCACACCAUCCACAUUCCUGGGACCCUCGGGGCAAGGUCCUACAGUCCUUGGUGACCACCACGCCUGCAAAAAGCGGUGGGAAAGUUGUUACGCUUAGAAAACUACCAACACGCGCAUGCCUGUAAUCCCAGUUACUCGGGAGGCUGAGACAGGAGAAUCGCUUGAACCCGGGAGGCGGAGGUUGCAGUGAGCCGAGAUCGCGCCACUGCACUCUAGCCUGGGAAACAAGAGCGAAACUCCGUCUCAAAACAAAAACAAAAACAAAACCAAAACCAAAACAAAACAAAACAAAACCUGCCGCCGCUCCGGAAGAGCUGGGAUGGAGAAUAAGGAUGAAUUCUGGAGGGAAAUCCGGCAAAACGGGCAUUGGCACUAAAAUAGGACAUUCGUUAAGGAAACAACAAAGAUGGCUGAAGAAUGGAGUAUGGCUGAAAAAAGCCCACUGGAGAGUUUCUGAACUCAAAGGAACAACCAUGCGAUGUGGAGGAGAAAAUGGAUCCAACGUUUUUUCCGGGGAUUAAAAGUGAGUCGGAAAUUGCCAGGACUUGGGAGAAAAAGGCUCUUGUUGAGUUCCCC